rnacentral:lncRNA from 1 species
AGUAGGGAAAGGUCUGAAUCAUUGAGGGAGAAGGUAAAAUGAAAUAGUAACCGGCAACUUUUGACAAUUUAUGACAACAUUUAACAUGUCCCUCCCUUCUGGACAGCUCGUUUGGUCGCGACAGCCCCUUGAAAGUCAUUGUCCAACUCUCCCACCAGGGUUCGAAUCCCAGCGAUUAUCGUGUUCGAGGGGAAGGGACCUUUCCUCCUGGGCCAGAGUGGGAUUAGUCGGGCCCCGUAAGGAUUGACCCGGACAUUCACUCCGUUAGAAAAAAAAAAAAAAAAAAAAGGACGAACAUUUGACAUGAGGGCAGGCUUUAGGAACAGAUUCUCGCAAUCAGCAACAAUAAGCAAAUACAUUGGCUUCAAAGCGUACAAGCAAAUUCAAUCAAAUCCCAGAACAUUAAAGAGCUUCAAGCGAUGGCUUAAGAACCCUCCCUGCACUCUAAAUUCUUGCCCACCCUUCUUUCUGGAUGCACGUAACAUUGCUUGUCUUUGUUCUUACAUGCAUAUAGAGGUUGGGCAUUUAGUUGAAAGAAAACACUCUUGAAGCACCAACCGACCAAGGAGCCUUGCACACAGUCAUAUUCUGUAGUACAAACUUGAAUAUUAAAAUACUCUGUUGCACAUUAACUGAAAGUCAUGAAGCAAAAGAAGAUGGGUGUUGGAAUUUUGUUGAACCAAGACAGAAGCAGAUGUGAAAUUUUAAUCACUUUCUUAUAGUAAUAAAGUUCCUCUGGAGCAUCCAAAUGUGUUCAGAUCCCCGUGUUCCUCUACAAUAUCGUUACAUCGAAAGAAUAUGUUGUCAAAAUCAUAACAGAAUUCACCGGUUCUGAAGGGCCUCUAUUGCUUUCUUCCACUGAAGUGCUCUUUGUUUUGCAUCCUCAAAGGACAUGACUUUCUUCGGCUGCAUCAUCACAAAAUACGUAUUGGUUAGAAGCUCAGAAGCAAGCACAUUGGAAUAUGAUUGGACUUGAAAAUCUCAUUUUACAGGUAGACAUGCCCCCCAAGGGCAAACAUACCGUGCAAAUCUUAAAAAGUGAAGGGCUAGUAACUUGAAUGCUGAGAUCGUUGGGAUUGUCGGACCAUAUUAUAUUCCCCUUAACCACCAACUUUGCAGGGUCCACGUAGAUCAACUUUGGUUUGUUGGUGAGAAUAAGCUGUACUUUUUUGCUUGUUAGCUUCUGAAGUUUCUUAACCAUAGAAAUCAUAAGAACAGAUUCACCCGGCUCCAAAAACUGUUUCCUGGUAAGAGAUAAGAAUGCGAGAUUUUACUAAAUAUGACAGCAGAAAAGGAAGGAAAAAAUAGAAAAGAGGGACGGUGACGGUGACGGUUAAUGAUAUUGAUGCUCCCAUAAGAUGAGACUUGGUGGUAGGAGGAAACUGUCACUUGUAAUGAGCUGAGUGUUACAUAGUUGCGGUAACACAUCUGAAUAAAAUAAAGGAAAAAUCUAUUCUCUCCACCCCUAGCCGAUCAAAAUAUACACCCCCUCUAAAAUUAUUUUGAGUCUCCAACCAGACCAUAACAAUAGUCUAAUCUAUAGGCUAUACCGGGAUCAUAACGGUUGUGAUGCAAUUUCAAGGCAAAAUAUGCUUUGAUUUCUGUUAGAACCUAAAUGGUAGGAUCUUUAAGUUAGAGAAUAAAGAAGUUUGAAAAGGUGUCCUGAGCAUAUCAAUAUGGUCGAUAGAUAUUUAAAAAAAUAACAACUUUUUUUGGAUGCAUAUUUUCCUGAUCCUUUGAACAAAUUUCAAUUUUAAAACCAACAAAAGAACUACUCUGAUUGUCUUCUGACACUCCUUUUUACCAUAAGCUCAUUGACUUCUUCCCUCCCUCUCAGACACACCAACACAGGCACACGUGCAUUUACAUAUCCAAACAUAGUCAAUAUGCAUACUUACACACAUACAUAUACCAAUUGACUACCUAGGCACAUCACAGCUUUAGAUAGUCACAAUUUGCUCUCCCACUCCUUUCAAGUUGCAACUUUCUUUGUUUAUCAAAUUCUAGGUUCUAAACAUCAUGUCAAGCAAACAGGAAAAGUCUCAUAUAAAACGUAAGUUGUCUAGCACCACUGAAAUUAAAUGCCAAAAAAAAAAAAAAUCAACUGUUGGUGGAGCAAUAUCACACUCCUGUUAUCAAACUCACCAUUUGGAGUCAAAGGAAUCAAUUGAAGCAAGUCUAGUUAUGCUACCAGACUCAGAAGAUGAGGCAGCACCUCCAUUUCUAUCAUUUGUUUUUGCUGAACUAUCUCCAACAUGUGAUGGGUUCCAUGCAGAUUCAUGACCAUCAGGCCCACUAGAUGGAGCCUAAAAAAGAGAUAAGAUGGCAAUGAGAAUUAUUCAAUGAAAACAAAACAAUCAGUUGAGAGUCAUAGCAACACAUACUUUAAGCUCCGAUGCAAGUCUAGGAGGGGUUUGUGAUCUCAAAUUUGUCCAAUCAAUCCCCUCAAAGAAAGGAUGCUUCUUAAGGGAAGAAUAACCAUCAGGUCCAGCCCCUGGCCUCCUGCCAGGAUCAAUAUCCUGUAUUGUUCCAUUGACACGUAUGUUAGGUGCUUCACUGAUGAAAUAUCCAUCAAAACACAACGAUUUUAAUUUUCAAAGAUUUUAAGAUAUUUGAAAACAAACAAUAGAAGGGAGAUAAGGGAGUAGUGGAGGACAACUGUUGUAAGUGAACUACAAAAGCAAAAGAAUUGCUAAUGUUUACUGGUUUUGCUCUCAUACCUUUAAGCUACACCUGGUAAAACCCUAAAGAAAAACCAUAAUGAGCUAUUCCGCCAGCACUUUUCAACAACAUUCCUUUUUUACCUUGGCUCCAUGCUUCAAUUUUCAAAAGCCACCACUGCUAAUUAGUUUGGCAUCCAAAUAGCCUCUAAGGCCAGAUUAGUUUCUAUGAAAAGAAUAAGCCACACCUCUGAGUUCUGACAAAAUAUACCAAUUUCAAAAUUGGUUCUGACCCUUAAGACAUAUAUGGUUCCUCAAGAAAAGACAUCCGAACUUGAAAAAGGAAAAGGAACAAUUUGCAAUUAAUUAUCCCAAAGUUACGCUAUAAUUUUACGAGAGAAUAUGACAAGAUUUGAGCCCUUGAUGUAAUUUGAAGGCAAAAUGGAGCUGUCAACUACACUUUGUCCAUAAAAAAAGCACGCAUAUGUUUGGAAAAUACAGGACUAUUCCAGCCUUUCCUUCUAUAUGACUUUUACAAAAUAAAAGAAAGGAUAGUGGGAAAACCAUGAUGAAUAUACCUUUGGAAAUUCAGCAAAACUGUUGCAACCACUUUUCUUUACUUCAAAUUAUGCAUGAAAUUAUGAAAAUGAUAGUGGAUAGGCAGCAUAGGUACAGGUAUAUGUGCCUUUAUACUUAAAAUGAAAAAUGAAAUAGAAGACAGAGUAAAAAAUACAGCUUAUAUUAUUUCACAAAGAUCAAGGGGUAAUUGGGUCUAUCCGGAACUAGAUGAAAAUGCAAAUAACUGAGCUUACCAGCAGUCGAUCUAUAAUAUCUCUGGCUUCUGCAGAGAAAUAGUUUGGAAAUCGGAUAUCCCUAGCAAUUAUUCUCUGGAAAAUGAGCCAUUCACUUGCAUCUUUAAAAGGAGAAGUUCCUGAAAGCAUUUGGAAUAACGUGCAGCCAAGUGCCCAAAGGUCAUUUCUGGUUCAGUAUAACCAAAUGGGUCAAAUAAAAAAAGUUAGGCAGCCAGAGAGAUAGAAUGAUAAUAAGUAGUACUAAGUAAACAUAGAGGAACCAAUUCUUGCCAUAUUUUCAAAUUUGUAGUCCACUACUUAACAAGCUGACAUUACAUGAAAAUAUCUAUCUAAAUGGAAUGAAAGAAGGUUGUAGGCCUUCCAAGAGGUAACUACCUUACCCGAAAGUUGCAGGAGAUGAAUUUAAAACUUCUGGAGGGACAUAAGCAGCUGUUCCCACAAAAGUACAAGCUUUGUCAUCUGGAAUAAAAAUAAACAAAUCAAUUCAUUACAUUAAUCUGCAUACCAAUCAGUAAUCUCACCAUCAAUGAAUUUUCACUAAGAAAGAUGUUUUAGUUUUCCUGAAUGAAUAAUUACAGAAGGUUAGUUUACCCGAUGCUGCAUUUGGAAGAACUGUUAUUCGACUAUCUUGCAUAGGCUUUACACUCCCAAAAUCAGCAAUUUUAAUAUGCCCAUCUUCAGUAAGUAGCAGGUUCUCUGGCUGCCAUUAAAGAAAUUAUUAUCAUUUCCUAUAUUCCAAUGUAAGAGCAAUAUAUCAUGCAAAAUACCUUUAUAUCUCGAUGUAUCAGCCCCAUGCUAUGUAUAUAUUCAAGAGCAUCUACAACUUCAGCUGCAUAGAAGCGGGCCUCAUCUUCUGACAGACGACCCUUCUGCAACAAAAGAAACAAGAUAUAUUGGGGAAAAGCUGACCAGGCAGGCCAGAAAAGAUGCUCUUUAAAUACGACACUGUUCACAAUCCCAGCUCAACAGGGCACCCAACAGGUCUCAAGUUCAAGUCUCAGGCCCUCCCCCUGCCCCUUCCAGUUCCCCUUUGUGAGUUAUGGAGUCCCCAGUGUACCAAAUAAGCAAAAGAGAAAUAGGAGAACAAUCUUGCAAAUGAAAUUUCAGAUAAGAUUGUUCCACUAUAUCUACAAGGAUCAAAGCAAAUAAACCUUUAUGUCUGAAAAUGUUGAGGAAUGCUACAUAAGUGAAUCCAUGUAGCUCAAAAAUUUUGCUGCAUCAUAUAUUGUUUGGUGCCACAUGUUAAAGUUAAUUUUGUGCCUUAGAAUUUUGGAUCAAGUACACUUCCAUGUAGGAUUGACAUCAUAUUACUACUAUUAAAUGAAUAAUAAGCUAGAUUUUGACAUCCACUUACCCUGGUGAUUUGAUCAAAAAGUUCUCCACCUUCACAGGACUCAAGUGCCAUAUCUUCAAAUGUAAUAAAACAAGAAUAUACUUAUGUCAAAUUACUAAGCAAGCCAUGAAAAAGCUAUGGAAUUCAAAAUGGAAACGGUGGGGAAAAAAACACUAAGCCAACACUGUGAUUUUACAUGGUUGAAGGAAGCCAGCAAGAAGCAAGAACACUCACACAGAGAAUACGUGUCUUGAAAUGUGAAAAACAAUCGCACCACACCAGGAUGGUCUAACUGAUCAAGUACAAUGCGUUCCAAUUUUACAUAAGCAGUUUUAUUUUCCUUGGUGAUAAAUUUUUUGUCCAUGAUCUUCAAGGCAUAUAUAGUUCCCGAGUCUUUCUUCCUUGCUCUAACAACCUGUAGGCAUCAAGAAUUGGUUAGAAUUAAUUUCGCUUAAAUAUCAAAUUAUGAACUUCAAUCCCAUCAAAAGUAUGCAUUACACAAUAAUAAAUUACACUUAAAAUUGUAUAUACUCAACAACAAUCCAAAUAAUCUUUGUUUUUGGGAGACCUGAAAAGUGGAUCAGGGAAGGAGAUAAGCAAUUGCAACUUAUGAUCUUAGACAAAACAAACUCCCAUUUAUAACUAACUGAUACAAACCUAAUUGUAACAAGAAGAUGGAAUUUGAAAUGGCUUCUCUUGGCUUCUGAUAAUCAAAAAGCAAAACAUAAAAGCGCAACAAAAGGUAAGGAAAAUCAUUGAAGUGAAUGAGACAAAAACACAUGCUAUCACCAGAAAAAUAACAUUGCAAUAGGUUUAAAGUUUUGACACAUUGAAAUUUGUGUCCUACAUGUAAUUCUCUCCAUCUAAUUUCACUAUACACCAUGAAUUCCAGCGUACAAUCACUACUGUGAUUUCUGAGGAUGCAAAUCCUCAAAAACCCAUCCUACAGGUCUCUAAACCUCACAAUUUAUUUGCCUCUGCACAAUUAUCUUACGAAAUUACACCUACCUAUGUUUAAGCACAAAUUACUUCCCCAUUUAUUCACCAGCAUUAUCUUUUAUUCUUUAACCCCAAUGAACUCACUACCUAUAUGUAAUUGAAUCCAUAAAAAUAAAUAAAUUAAAAUAUACCAUGAAACUUGAACUUAGAAACUCUUCUUGCCAAGGCCUCAACAUCUAAAUUUUUGCCACGUUAAAAAAAUAAUAAUAAUAAGAACCUUAUUGGCAAGAAUAAAACUCCGCCAUAAAAUAACAUCAGAAAAUAGCCCCAGAUACAAAACAUCUGUCUAGUUGAAAAGUUACUUUUAUUCCAUUCAAACAAAAUUUAAAAAAAAAAUCCAGUAAAAUAUUGAUAACUAUUUUCAAUACCUAGAUCCUUUUCUUACACCAGUACUCUGCAUAUAGAUAUACAUUCUCAUGCAAAAAACCAGUACUCUGUUGAUUAUUCUUAAUUGACGAAAACAAAACACUUCUAUUUUCACGACAUGAGCGCAUUAGCUGAAGGUAAAGUGAUUUAGAAGCUCUGGACGGGGAUUUUCCUACACAUUUAGAUUGGGAUAUUUUGAGGGAAAUGGAAAGUUCUGAGGAACUGGAGUCUUUGGAAAUGGAGGAGGUAUGACCGUGCUUCUGUUAUGCAUUGCAAAUUUCUUUUUGCCCUGUUUUGUUUUUUCCCAGGUUGUUGGAAUUACUGUUGGGUAGAACAUUAUUGUAAUACUCGCAGAUUGAAGAAAGAAUGGAGAAAGCGAUUGGUGAUUGGGAUGAAUUAUAUCGUAAUGCUCGAAAAUCUGAAAAGCUUAAGUUUGAAAUGAAUGAAAGAGAUGAAGGAGAGCUGGAAAGGACUGGGCAACCUUUGUGCAUCUAUGAGAUUUACCAUGGAGCUGGAGCUUGGCAAUUUCUACAUCAUGGUUCUUUGUACCGUGGGUUGAGUCUGUAAGUUUUUUUGAUCCAGGAACACUGGCUUAUAUUAAGUCAUCUGUUGCAACAUGAACUAAGAAGAAACUAUCUUUCUAGAGCAAGUUCAGUAAUCUAUUCUAUUACCUCGUCUGUGUUGCUGACACUUGUGUGUUUCUUCUAGUAGAAAUUGCUGGUUUUCUUACUUUGAAUAAUUGUUAUCCUCUUUUUCUAGGCUGUGUUUUGCAUGUAAGUUUUGUAGUUUGUCAGUGCUAAUACUGGUAAAUCUCCCCAGUCUACUCGGGCCAGAAGAUUGAGGUCAGAUGAUGUUGAUGCAGUUGCUCGGCUUCCUGUCCUGAAUGACACAUAUUACCGAGACGUACUUUGUGAGAUUGGAGGCAUGUUUUCAGUUGCGAAUGGUGUUGAUAAUAUCCAUAAGCGACCUUGGAUCGGUUUUCAGUCUUGGCGUGCUGCUGGGAGGAAGGUGUGCCCUAAUUUUUCAUGUAUUUCAGAGGAAUUGUCUUUCUGGCUAACCUUGCUUCUUUUUUAUUCUAGAUAAUGAAAUAUCAUAUAUUAAAAUUGAGGUUCUAAUGCCUGUAAUGGGAUUGCAAGAUAGUGUUGUCAAAAUAGUUUUCCUUUACCAUUAAUUGUUAUUUUUGUAAUCAAGCAAAAGAAUAUUUUUCAUCUGAAUGUCUUCUGGCCUACAAUAUAUGACAGGCUAGUCUCUCUACAAAAGCUGAGCAGGUUCUGGAAGAAGUAGUACAAAGAAAUACUAAAGGAGAUGUGAUAUACUUUUGGGCGAUGUUGGACAUGGAUGGUGGAUUUAUGGGAGGAAUGACGUGCUUACUUUUUGGUCCAUGUGUGACAUCUUAAAUGGAGGAAACUGCAGGUUAGAGUGUUUUGGGAGACACAUGACCUACGCUGUUUUUAUAGCUUUUCUUAGUUUUACAUAUCAUUUAAAGACUACAGGCAUCUAAAUUUUUCUCCCCUUUUAAAGAUGCUAAAUUACAUAGAAUAUGAGAGAAUCUUCUCUCUUCAAAUUUGCAUUUUUUUUUACUUAUUAAGCUAGUGUUUGAAGAUUGUGUUGCUAAAUUUUUUUCAUUUGAAUAAUUCAAAUUUGCAGAAGUGCCUUUGAAGAUGCAUUCCGUAUAAUGUAUGCCCUACCGUCACAUGUAGAAGCCCUUCCACCCAUGCCUGAAGAUGGAGGGCGCUGGUCAGCCCUACAUAGCUGGGUCAUGCCAACCUCUUCUUUUCUGGAGUUCAUUAUGUUUUCCAGGUAAUUUCCCUGGAGUAACACAUUGCUUAACUUUUUGGCAAUUUAAUAUCAUGAUUAAGAUGCCACGGCUGAGGUCGUUGGUUGCUUUACCUUCAUUUUGUCAUCUGACUGAAAAUUCCUUUGCAUAUUAGGAUUUUUGUGGAUUCUCUCGAUUAUUUGCAUGUAAAUUCAAGCAACAUGACUUCUUGUUUGUUGGGUCUUCAGUGUUGGAGGUAAGUAUAGACCAAAAGUUAUCUGUAAUCAAGAAAAUGACAAAAUGAAAGUUUCUUAUGCUGAAAUUGUGACACUUCUACCAGAAGCAGCAUUGUUACUGUCGGGUGAUGGAACUUCUGGUCAACGUAUGGGCAUAUCAUAGUGCACGUAGGAUGGUUUACAUUGAUCCCCACUCAGGUUUGCUGGAGGAACAACAUCCAAUAGAACAACGGAAAGGAUUUAUGUGGGCGAAGUACUUGAACACCUCAUUAUUGAAAAGUAUGGAUGAAGACCUUGCUGAAGCAGCAGAUGACAAUGACCAUCCAUAUGAAAUGUGGUUAUGGCCGUUAACAGGGGAAGUUUACUGGCAAGGUGUAUAUGAGCGUGAGAGGGAAGAAAGAUAUAGGUUGAAGAUGGACAAGAAGAGAAAAACAAGAGAGAAACUACUCGACAGGAUGAAACACGGAUAUGUGCAGAAGGCACUUGGAAGAUUGAAGCUGUAGAUCUCAGCAGGAAGAGUUGAAAGUUUUGUUGGAAUUUCCUAUUCCUAUUGUCGUCGAGGAGGCGAGGUGAUAAUUUUUCUAAGCUUGAGCAUUCGGGGUGCCUCAAUGCUGAUAAUGGAGUAAAGUGAUUGUUCCUUAACAGCAUCAAAGGUAGUUGGAACUGACUUGUUCUUCUGACGUUACUGAAUACAUUAAACGGGGGUCGCAGGUGCCAAGAUACACUUGAAAAAAAGCAAGCUAAGCUAGAAUGACAUACCAACAAUUUUGUAGCCAACAUAGCUAGCACACAGGUAUAAAUUGCACGGCCUUCAACACUACUCCAGAUCUAACUGAUUUUGGCUGGAAUUCUUUAGACAUACAAUCGUAUUCUUUUCACAUGUACAUAUCCUUUGAAAUAACGAUCCAAUUCUUCUGAAAAGCCCCUUUUUGGCUCUCUGACUUGUAACUACUAAAACCAGGACACCCUCGACUAGAGGUUUACAAUUUUGACUGACUUAUGGGCUGCUAUUGUUUGAGGGGCAGAUUUCGUGCUCGUAGUAUUUAUAGGAAAAUGGGUUUACAAAGGCACUAUUCUUCCAAAUUUGUAACUGCUUGCAACCCACUAUUGGUGCGAUGUUCUUUCAUACAAUUUGACAGGAUUAUGGUACCUUAUGUGCACAGUUAACUUAUGACAAUAUCAAGGGAUACUCUGUUCCUAUUUCCUAGUACUUUGAUGAUUUUCAAGGCGAAACCAAAAGGCAAACCCAAUAACAUUUUAACGAGCACAUUCUAAAAGCCUUAAAUGCAAAUAGGAUUGGAACACCAAGCUCUGGUUUUUUAGCGGUGUCAAAUUUGUCACAUUUUAUUUGCCCAAUUUCCCCUGUUUCAAAUGGGUUUGGGCCACCCAGAUUCAUUGUCAGGCUGAUCCGUGUAACUCAUUUUCGGACACAUAGCUCUAUUUCCACUCGUCCCUUUUUGCCAAAUUUGCUUGAAAUUUUCAGCGUUUUUUUCUCACAGAAAGUGUGACGCUUGCAAUUUCAAUUGCGCACUUCUAAUUUCAAUGCCUGAUUUGGGGAAAUUCUGGAGCAAUGUCAGUAGAGUGCCCGGUUUCACUGACUGCUUGAUCGGAAACUUCUCUUAAGAACUAAUCAAUGUCCAUUAGAUCGGUCUCACUUGACCACUACAAGCAAGGAAAAACCGAAGGAGACUAUUUAUCAUUUAAAAAAGAUGUAGCAAAUUUUAUUCUCCUAAGAUAGGCUUAAGAGACACGGAGUUGAAAGUGCACGACGAUUAAUGGUCCAUAAAUUUUCAAUUGAACCAUUAAUAUAAUAGAGUAUGUUUGGAUAUAAUAUUAUUAUUUGGGAUAAUUUUUUGAAUAAAUAUUAUAACACCUUUUUUUAACGUGAUGUAUGUAAAAUAAAAUUUUUAUAAAAUAUGUUUAACAAAUAAAUAUUACAAAUAAUAAACUGUCCAAACAAACAUAAGAUAAAAAAAAAAAAAAUUGAGUAGCAGCAAGAAGAUCCUGAUUGAUGUUUGAACACAUUGCACUAUACGAACUGAUUGAGUAAUCAGUUCACUAACCAAAACCUGCAAGCAAAAGAUUUAGAAAACAUCCAAAAUCAAACACAUAGAGACAAAAAAAAAAAAAUGGGAAGAAGAAGGAUUCGACCAGGAUAAUAUAUAGUCAUUUCAACAUUCGACGGACAUUUUUUUUUCCUUUCCUUUCGUUUUAUUUUUGUCUUUUCCUCGGUGACUCUUGAAAUAUUAAUUUAAUGUAUAGUAAUAAUUUAAAAAUAAUCCCCCCAUGCCAGCCAGUACUAAAAUCCUGCCCUCCCUCAUCGUACGCCUAAUUGGGAAUGUUGGGCUGAGCAGCAAAAACCGUGUAGGGUUUUCGGCUCCCACUCCAAACCCCUACUGUUCCCUGUUCACACCUGAAGACUCAUCUUACGCAUCUGCUUCUUCUUUCAGGUGACACCCAUUUCUUGCAUUUCUAGUUAUCAAAUCACUGACUUCUUUAUGGACUUUAGCUUAUCUUACUUUUUUUUAUCGGUUUUUUGUUGACAAAAUGAACUGGCCGUUCAUUCUCUGCUGUUUCCCAUUUUGGUUUUCUUUUGAGGAGCAACACUGUAUGCUGAAGUUCUUGUAAUUUUUUUCUGAAUCAUUUGUUGUUUUCGUUUCAAAUUGGGAUGGGCUUGCAAAGUUGAUGUCCCACUGCAUUUCUUGGUUGCUGGAAUGUGGAGGAAUUAGUAACCCAAGUUAUUUUCUUCUCUUUUUUCUAUUUAGACAUGAAUGCUGGAAUGCUAGUGGAAAAUUUUCAAUUCAGCUAAUUUUUUUGGUUGGGCAUUAUGUGGGCCAGCCAAUUUUUUUUUUUUUUUUGGGGUUACAAAAAAUUUGUCUAGUCUAUAUGCUUAAUUGUUUUUUCCUUUUGUGUUGGGGUUUGAGCAGAAUGCUGGCAGAAAUAUGAUUAGUUUUGUGUCAAAUCAGUUGACAUUCUUCGAAAGAACCAAAGAGACGCUCCCUUAGAAUACUAAUGAAUCUUAUUCUCUCUUAAUGUAUAUGCAUAUAAGGAGGCCGGUCUUUUGUUAUCUUACAGAGAAAUAGAGUCUGGAAAGUGAUGAGAUAAACUCUGCAGUUCAUAGGUCUUUGAAUGUGUGACAUGACAUAUACAUGCGGCUAAGAAACCUAUCUUUUAUGUUGCUUGUUUACCCCACGAAAGGCAUCAACUGAAAAUUAUUCUAAUCACCUGAAAUUCAUAUCUGUGGUUGAUGUGUAGACAUGCGUUGUACAGUCACUGACUUGCAACGAUCCUAAACUAUCGAAGAAGUAAGCAGUAGCACCCUGUUUUUGUAUUGCCUUUUUUUAUGUUCUUGGAGCUUAUAACCAAAAUUUCACAUAACCAAAAUUUUCAGAUGAUGCAUGCAAUCAAAGGUGGAUGGGUUGGGCAAACAUUUGCCCUUGCUGCAUAUAGUGACUCUGGAGGGAGGAAGGCAAGGAUUAGGCGUUCAAAGGAGGAGAGGAAGGCAAUGGUUGAGUCUUUUAUAAAGAAGUAACCUUUUCAAACUUGCUCUUUUUAUGAAGAGAAUUUGUAUAUUAUUUACAUUACAAUGGUGAUCUAUUUUGUGCAUGUGUCUGUGUAUUUCUUUUUUAAUCAUCACUAUUAAAUGUUCACUUUUUGCAUAAGGAUGAUUGUGUUAGCAUGUAAACUUUUGUCAUCUGGUCCUUGAGAGUAAUAUAGAUUGUGCUUUUCCCAAAAUGAGAAAUCUCUUUGUUUGUUGUUUAGGACUAGAAUUCAUCUAUUUUAGUUUCCUUGACCAUCCACAUAAAUAGGAAGAAGAACUUAUUUCAUUUAGUUUCUUAAAUUGUUCCUUUUUUACUAAAUAUACUCGCUGACGUCUUCACAUUUCUUGGGUCAAUUUCUUACAGAUAUCAGAACUCAAAUAAUGGAAAUUUUCCAUCUUUGAAUCUUACACACAAGGAAGUUGGUGGUUCUUUUUACACAGUUCGGGAAAUUGUUCGAGAAAUUAUUCAAGAAAACAAAGUAUUAGGUCCAGCUAAGUUUUCAGAAGAGCAGAGCUACGAUAAUGUUUUGGAGCAUUAUCCAUUAGGAUCCAUUUCCAUUGAAGCUCAAAGAAGUUCAUUACCAUCAGAUGAACUGAAAAGUGUAUCCAUAUUUCAUCCAAACAAAGACAGGGUACCGGUGAAGAACUUGUUGCAAAUUCUAAUGGACUAUUCUUUGGGUAUGAGCAUCAAAAUCUAGAUAGUGAUCAAGUAGUUAAUGGUGUAAUUGAGACAAUUAAAGAUGACGUGGGAUCAGAUGGACCAAAAAACGUAGCUCAUACUUCAUCCAAACAAAGUCUGGAUAGUGGUGAAGAAGUUGUUGCAAACUCUAGUGGACAAUCCUUUGUGUCUGAGCAUCAGAAACUACACAAUGAUCAAGUAGUUAAUGGUGCAGUUGAGACAAUUAAAGAUGAUUUGGGAUCUGAUGAAUGCAGUUUAAUUGAAGCUGCAAUCCUACUCAUGAAGGCACAAGUGAUGAAAUCCUUGAAAAUUUGAGUGGGCAGUUGACAGGACCUGAUUGUCAGGAGUUUGACAGCAAACCAAUUGGAUGUUAGUGAGCCAACUGACGAGGAUGAAGAAUCUAAUGAACCAGUUAUACGUAGUCCUGUGUCUAUACCUAAUCCCAGAGUUAUUCAAGAAGAUCACCAGGAAAGUAGGGGAGAACAAGUUGUACAUUCUACAUAGAGAUUUUCCUGGAGAUGGCCAUCUGAAAGCAGACACGGAAGAAGAUGUCAAUGGGAUUAGUCAGGCAAUUGGAGAAACUGAAUAUGAACAACCAGUAUUGGCAGUGGCUGUAGGAGAAGAUAGCCUGGAUGUCAACAAAGGUGGUACUAAAACAGUUGAGUCAUCAAAUGUUGGUAUGACUCGUGGGCAAGCUGACAUAGUUGUCGAAAAAUUUCCACUUCAUCCCAUUGCUAGGAAAUUUGAUGACUUGGAAGGAAGAUUAGAAGAACAAAGUCAAGGAACUAGAACUCUGGAGGUAAACAAAAUUGAACAGGACAGCGUACAAGUUACAGAGCACUCUUGUAGUGCUGUGCAGGUGGAAGCUGGUGCAGACCUUGCUGUUUCAAAAAGCAAGAGUGAGCUGGUGGGUAAAACUGCCAGCCUAAAUGAUGGGAAUCCACCAUUGGAAAUGUCAAAUUGCUCUGCAACCAAAAAAGUUCCUGUAUUUGACAUGAGCAAUGCUGCAGAAAUCGGAGCAAAGGUCUCUUCCCCCACUGAAGCAAAGGUAUUUUACUUAUGAUGUAUUUAAUAUAUCUUUUGCACAUGGCUUGGGAUGUAUGUCUUUGCAUCCCUAACUUUGUGCUUAUUAAAGGGCUUAAAUCUUGUAGCUGUGAAUAAGAUGUAGAGGGACUUUGGGCUAUGUGACAUCUAUGUGCCAAUGAAAGUGGUUAUUUCCUGUUCCUAGUCCUGAUUGGUUGAAUUCAUUGGGAGGCCUUGUAAUGGAAGUAUAUAUACGGUCAUGUUUGAAAAUCAGAUGAGUGGAGAUGCAAGUGAAACUUACACUUUGGUACUGUAACACUACGAGGUUAAAAGUGUAAUGCACUCAGAUCCCGGAUGAACUCUUCUGAUUGCAUUACGGUGAACCUGGGUACUUAUGAUGAGUCUUGCAGCCUGGAGCUAUCUUGAUCUUGCAAUUUGGUAGAACCUCCAUUUGUGGUUGUCUUGUUAAUUAUUCUUCAGCUGUCGCAACGUGGAUAUUAAUGAACUUGUCAGUACUAGUUUAUUAAGUCUAAUGAAGGUAAUUUAAAAUUUGGUUGUAACUAAAAAUUUAUUAUGUUCUGAAGAUGAAAGGUCACAAUUUGGUGGGGUUUCAUUAAAGGUGCAGCAGGUAUGGUGGCCUAUACAUAGAAAAAUUGGAAGGUGGCUACUUGUGUUUGGCUAUCACAUACUGUAGCUGUUGCACAUUUUAUUCUUUUCCUAUUGGGUGGUGCUAAUUUCUCUGACGUUAUUUUACAGCCUGCGAAUGUUCCAACGGGUACCAAUGAGAAACAUGGUGACAUAAAUGCUGGUGUUUCUCAUGAACAGUCCAUUCCAGAUGAAACCAUUGGAAUAGAAGACAAACUAAAGAUCGAAGGUGAUAGCAGCUCCAAGGAGGGAAGCAAUCCUACAUUAAACAGAAUUAACCUGUAAGUAUCUUUUGUGGCAUCUCCUAGGCCUUUUUGCAUACAGUUCAAGAUGUCACUCUUUAUCAUUUCAGAGUGAUCAGUUUCAACAUUCCCCAGUCCCCGGACUGCCCCACCUAUGUACUGUUCAUUUAGCCUCACCCAAUUGAGUUUCCCCUUUGCAGUGAAACAUGGGAAAGGACAUCAGAGCUGCCCGCUGAAUCUGAAGUAAAUCCAGUUUUUGCAUUCUUCAAGGCGCUUGUUACUGCUUUUGUGAGAUUUUUGAAUGGAUGAGAGUUUACGGGGUGUUAUAAUGUAGCUUUUGAGAGUAUCUGCAGGGUGUUAAGCUUAGUGUUUGCAGCUUAUGGGACACUUUAAUUCCAUGAUAUUAUGAUAUCUGGUAACGUACUUAAUGUAUAUGGUGGUUGCUGCGGUCAAUUACAUGAUGCUUGUAUCCCUGAAACCUAGGUAGAAGAGGAGACCUUGCUAGAUGGAUGUCAUCAAGGAGCUGGUCCAUCAUUUCAGCUUCUUGAUGACCUCCCCUCAUCUGCACCAUUAAAGUUGGAUGGAACAAGUGUAAGCAUGGUCUGGAUAAAUCUACAUUUGCUUCUAAUAAAAAGUAAAAUAGCUUGAAGUAGUUGUAUGAUCUCCUUGUAUCCUAAGAAAUAUCGACAGCAUAAAUAAAUUGUCCAUCAAGUUGUGAUAAAUCCCAAUUUUCCAUGGGAGACACUGUUAGCAGAAAAGGACAUAGUACUGUUUAAUAAAGAGCAGCCCUACUCAUUCCACAACAGAAAAUGGUCAACAGAUGAGUGGUUGCUGUUUAUUAUAUUUAGAUUAGAAGAAAAAAGAAGAAGAAGAAAAAUCCCUUUCCAUCCCCAGCUCCACUGGAAAAGUGACGCAGCAGUAUUCCAGGAACAGAAUUCAGUCCACCACAUUUCAUACGAUCGCGGAUGGCUGAGAAGGUCUUGUUCUUAAUUCUUUCUUGUAGAUGCUUUCCAACUGUUAGCGCAAGACUAAAGCUUGACCAUUCUGGGAUCUUUUGCUUUAUAAUUACGUUGCUUGCAUCACAUGGAUGUGUUAGUCCACCUAAAAGCAAGGCAUUCCCAGUCUAGAAGGGAUUCAUUAUUACAUCUUCCUUUUUGCAAGGGUGAGAUUCUCGAGCGAGACUUUAACUGAGGUCUACUUUUCGUUUUCGUUCGCCAUCAAAGCAUCAUUGGGUUUGGUCCAUAGACUACUCAUUGAGGUUGUCAAUUAAGAGUCCAAACCGGGCAAUCGAUUCCAGCUCUGCUAACGUGAUUACAUUACUGCCAGGAAGUAAUUGAAACUUAGAAAAAGAGCCUUUUCCUUUUCCUCUGUUCAAUUGGAUGUAGUAUUAGCAUGUAUGAGGGGUCACUGCUUUUUUCUUUCUUUUGUUUUUGGUAGAGAAUAAGAAUAGAAGGGCUAAAACUAAGACCAGUCCAACUCCAAUACAUGAAGGGAUUAUAUGUGCAAUAAUUUGUUUGAUUAUUUAGGAACUUAGAAUUGAUGUCUGCAUGAAGCGUUUCAGCGUUUUGUUUGGCAUGGUGUCAUGAUUUUGCUGCCAAGUUGUAACAAAACGAACUUAUAGUUUUUAGACUUUAGUUUAGUACAAUGCUCACAUUGCUGGAAUACAGCCAAUCGGGAGCAAGCAAGAGAUGCCCACAUAUUGAUUAAGCUUCCCUGGCUUUUGCAACAGAAUCUCAAGUACUAAAUAUGUUUUGUUCCAUGCGUUAAAAAAAUCAAAGGUUCACAAAUGUACAUCUCUCUCUGCACACAUGUAUAAUGGCAGGAUUUCUCUGUUCAAAAAAAAAUAUAUAUAUAUAUAGUCAUUUCUAUAAGAACAUAAGAAACAACAAUAAUACUCUAUAUUUUGAUGUUUGUUUGAGGGUCGGUUUGUGAUUGGUUCUAAAGCUUGUGUGACAAAAGGCAAAGGAUAUUAAAAAGAAAGAGAGAAAGGUGUGAAGCAAUCUCGAAGCAAGGAAUAAAGUGGAAAAUAUAAACUAAGAAAAAAAAUCCAGUAAUCUGUAAUUCAUCAAGACUCAAGAGCAAGACUAAAUUAAAACCCCCAAAACCUCCGCAAACUAAAAAAAUAUAAGAACAACGGCAAAGCUAUCUUACUAUAUUAUUAAUUUUCUUCAAACUAUUGAAAUACUAGAAUUCAAUGCAUUGUACACAAAUAAAUUUAACAAAGCUAUAUAUAUAGUAGCAACAAUUUUUCUAGUAUUCCUAGUUGGAGUAUAUGGUAGGAUUGGCAGACUCCUUGCGGCUUCUAUGACUAAAAACAAAUUCUUGAAAUGAUAUAAAAAAAAAACAAAAUUCGAGGAAGAUUCAAAAAGUUGCACAGGAUCAUUAUUGCAUGGGAUGGCAACAUGCAAUGAUAGGGGGGUGGCAUGGAAUUCCCCCAAGCAAUUAUUAGUUAUUAAGAACACUUCACACAUAAGGCCAAUAUCCCUUAAGCAGGGGUAAGGGGGACAAGGAGGGUGUCCAAAAACACGUAAUAAUGAUCCCUCUUCAUUCCUAUCUAAUCAGCAUGCAAUUGGAUAUGAAUCUCAGGUCAAAUGGCCUAAUAAUACAAAUCAGAUGACGGUGUCAAGGAUUCGGAGAAAUGAAAUUGUUGCCCGUAUAUAGCGGUCAGAGAAAUUACGCCAUCAUUUUCUAGGAUUUUUUUUUUUUGGGGUAUCUUUGUACAAUGUAUCAAUAGACAAGGACGUCCUAAUUAUACGUAAUGAAGUUGGGGUAAUGCAUGGUGAAAACCAAGCAAAAUAGAUAGGCUGAGGGGACAGUUCACAUGGAAAGAUUCAUUCAUGAGGUGGAGAUCAUGGAGAGGGUAUUUGGUAAACCCAACCAAAACAUAUAGUAUUAUUCAAGGCUCAGUUUCUUUGUUCUUUUAUUUGCACAAUAAUAAUAAUGAGGGAGAGACAGAUAUGGCAGAUAGGGCGUAUUGAAGGCUCUACGAUGGAAUCCUAUGCUAGUUUAUAAAUUAGAGUGACAGAGACAGAAAUGGGUACAAAAAUUGCCAACGAAGGUCUUAGGCUAAAUGCAUUGUACUACAAUUAAUUAUAGCUGACUGCGAGCCAAGCUGGUCGUGAGUAGUUCGGUCAAUUGCUCGGCUCGAAUUCGGGUUGACCAAGUUUGAGUCCGAACUUGAACUAUUCGAUUGGAAAGCAAAUCGAAUUUUGAGCCCAGAUAUAUGCUACUCAAGCUCGACGAGCUACUUGUCGAGUACUUUUUAAUUUAAACAUUAUAUUUUUUUUUUAAAUACAAAAUUAUCACUAAGGGUUUAUGCUUUCAGAUGAUUUACAAGCUGAUUUGCAUACCUAAUAAAACUCUUGAAUGGCAAAAAAGUAAUAGAAUUUGAAGUAGACACAAUAUAAUUUCAUUCGCCAAGUUUUGAACUUAAAGGCUCAAAAAUGAGGUCUGAUUGAGUUUCUAUACUUGAAAGCAUCAUUGAGUACUCAAACUUGAUAUGCUCGAUCCUGAUUCAAGCCAUAUCGAGUCGAGUUUGAGUUUUAUACCGUUUUAGUAAGUGGAGUUCAAUUCUCUAUUCUCGAACUUAUCAAGUUCGAACUCGAGUCGAGCAGGGCAUCAAUAGUGUUUGAGUUGAGUUCGGGUAUAGAACUACUCAAGUUUGACUCAACUUGUAUACACCUGUAACUACAAAUUUUCGCUUGAAAAUUUGACCAGUAGAGAUCAAAAUGAAAUAUUAAAAAAUACUAAGCACUUGUGGCAAUUUGCAUCAUGUGAGACGAUUCCAAAUAUGCCCUCAUACUGAAAACGGAAUUGAUUUAAGAAAUAUGGAUCUUUAUGAACGGAAAAAAAAGAGUAAGUGUAUUUGGUGUUAUCCGUAGAUAAAGCGUUACUCAUAGGUCAAAAAAGACACCGACUCAAGUUUAUCAGCUUUUUUUUAGUUUUGCUUUUUUUUUUUUCUUUUUGGGGGAAAAUGUUUCUAGGUAGCAACAAGUGCCACAUUCUUGCCCCGUAGAGGAGAAGGAAUAGAAAGAAAUGGAAGUAAAAUAUCCAGGACUCUGGUAUAUAUAUAAUAUCUCAUGGUUGAAUUUUAGCUUUUCAUACAUCCAACAAACAUAUAUUAGCAUCUUACAGACACAACUAUUCAAUUUUGGGAUCAUCAGCGAACUUUUACAUAUACAAGACACCGACGAAGAUUCGUGCAAACAUGGAGAGGAAGAAAAAAUUUGGUCGAAUUCUUAGGAACAAACAAUAUCUCCUCAACAUCUUUAAUCUUGAAUAUCCUGCCAGAUAAUUUUUAAUGAGAUGCUUCUUAAGUUCACUGGGAAUAAGAAAAUCUAAUGGAAUUAUUUACUGCAGGCAGGCUUUCUUAGAGCGCAUGUAGUAGUGGUGGUGUCCAUGCAGGUUGCUCUCACCUUUUUGAGCAAUUCUUUGUCGGACAAACUCCAUAUUGCACCUUCGAAUUCGUAUGAUUUUUUCACUUUACAUUCUAAACUUCAAAUUUAAAUACUUUGCACAUUAAAUUCUUAAUUUUAAACACUUUACAUUCUAAUCAAUUAAGUUUGUUCUAUUUAAAUCUAGUCAGCGACAACUUCAGCAAAAUUAACGGCAUGUACGACUUAUCAAAUUAAUGAUAAUAUGCUGAAAGUUGUUAAAAGGUAGCAAGGUAUCAUAGCAAAAAUAAAACAGUAUAUUGGAAUUAAUUUGUACCAUCUUUUAUCUAAUUGAUUUUGCUAGAAAUAUUAGCGAUUGAAACUAUAUAAAUCAAUAAUAAUAUGCUAAAAUGGUCAAAAAAGCUAAGAGAUCGCACUGAAUGAUACAUUUUUAUUGAUUUUCACUACACCCCUUUACCUCAUACAUUUUGCAAGCAACAUAAUCAUUGGUUAUAUUUAAACACGACAAACUUGAGAGUUUAGGGUGCAAAGUGCCCAAAAUUAACGGUGUUUGGAUUGCAUUUUUCAUGAAAAAAUUACUGUAGUGAUUUGAUGUAUGUAAGAGAAAAAGGUAAUAGGAAAAUGUGAUCACGGAAAACAAUGUAAUUUUCCGACGGAAAACUGCAAUCCAAACAAGGCAAUUUGGAUUGCAAAGUGAAAAGGUGAUAUAAGUUUGGGAGCGUAAAGUGAAGUUAGUCCUUCUUUCUUAAUUAACUUAACGUAAGUUAUAAGCUUGGAUUCACAGGCCAAUUCCAAAAAAGUUGAAACCAUGAAUUUCAGAUCCAAGAUUGAUCAGCGUCCUUUCCUUCCUUGCACUGUCAAGUAUCCAAGUCCUGCGAUGUGCAAUGUACAAUGUGGGCUAUUUAAUUAAUGAGUUGCAGCUUGUCAUUUUCUAGUACUCAUCAUGCAAAUUGGUAAAUGUAUCUCACCCUCUUCACCGUUUACAACCCAAGUUUACCUUAAAAAAAGAAAGAAAGAAAAAAAGAAAAAUUGGUACUGCAAUGGAGAACAUUAAUAUUAUCUAGGCAGCAUAGAAACAAACUUGUCCCAGUAGCACUUUUAAGCAAUUAAAUUCCUUCUACUUUCAUGAGCCUCUAGUACAGUACUACAGUUACAGGACAUGUCAAUAUAAAAACUGAUCAAAAUAGUAGUGACGAUCCAGAUGACAAAAAUCUCACAGGUAAAUGCCUCUAACAUGCAUUCACAAUCUUGACUGCAGAACCGCAGGAGCAUCUCCUCUUCAUCCUUUUUGUACUUCUUAAAAACUAAAAUAAAACGAAAAAAAGAAAAUAAUAGAGAGAUUUGGAGGAGGAAAAAAUAAAAAUUGCCAAUGAAGAAAAGAUGAAAAAGGUUUGUGAGUAAAGGUGGGGAAGACAGGUAGUUACAUCUGGAGCCAAGUGACGACAGCCUGAGAUGGACAUGUUAGAAAAGUUGUUCUACUACUGUAGUCUGUGCUGCCACCAAUCUAUCUAUCUUAAUCUGCUGGUUUGUGUGAGAAUAAAGAAUGCCCCUACGACCUUUUCUCUACUCAAUUACCUUCCAAUGCACGCCUCUCUUCCAAACUCUUCUUUUUCAACCCGUAUAUAUAUGUAUGUAUGUGUAUAUAUUCCCUGCCCAUUCCUACACUUGUAUCUCUUACAAUUUCCUGUUUACAGGUUCCUCCUUAUCAGCUUUCCCUCCAGUUCCUCGACCAACCCUCCACCCACCAGAAAAAACCGAAAGAACGGACAAAAAACCCAUGUCUACGGAUCUAGAAUUACGCCAAGAAUUGGUGGAAAUCCGAUUACCAGCUCUAAACAUCAAGGUUUCACAGUCUUCAGAUAGUACGGAUGAUGGCGGUGCUGUAAUUCAGUCACAAGAAAGCACCACCGGCACGGGCAGCUGCAUCAUUGAAGAAGAAGAGUGCCAUACUCCAAAAUCGCCUCAGCAUAUGAUCCCAGAAAUUCUUAGCUGCCCACCUGCCCCAAAGAAGCCUACGAGGCCUGCUUCCUCCUCAUGCAAGAGAAAAUUAUCUGAAUUUUUCGAGUUUGUGGGACGGGAAGAGAUUGAGUCUUUUUUCAGGCAGCUCGACGUGCCGAAUUCUACAACCGGUGUCAUCAAAAAGAGGUGUCUUGUAUAAAAUUUAUUCCACAUUCAGAAAUUUUCUAAGGCCGCCCCAUUUUCUUACAUUGCUUUGCAAAUUGGAAUCAAUUGACAAAGCCACAGCAAAGUGAAUUACGAUCAAUUGUGUAUGUAUUACACCUUUUUAUAUGUUAAAGAAAAUGUAUUAUUUGAUUCACAAUUCUUGUUAUUACCACAACUAUUAUUAUCUUCUUUUCAUUUCUUUUUGUGUAAGUUGGAUCUGAACUGAAGGCUGACAUGAUUGAGAAUUUACUCAAAUUAAUUUGAGUAAUUAACUUGCACUAUCUUCUCUCUCUCUCUCUCUCUCUCUUCUUUUUUUGUUUAUUGAAAUUUGGUUGGGAAGGUUGGUUCACUUGGUUUUAAACAUGGAUGACGAUAGUUAAUUAAGGCUGCUAAAACAUAGAUUAGUGAUGAGUUUUGUGAGGGAGAUGAGUGGUUGGUUGGUUGGUUUUGUCCGAAGGAAGGAAGAUGUGAAUAAUAGAUGGAAUCAAUCCACCAAAUAAUCAAUGAAUGAAAUACAGCUACGACUAAUUCAGUUGGUGCAAGUUUUUUCUUGAGAAAGAUUUGAAUUAGGUUUGAUGAUGCAGCAUGAUCGUGUUUGACGUUAUGGUUGAGUGACAGACACGGUUUUGGGAUUGACAUCCUUUGAUUAUCUUUUUUUUUAGCGUUCCUCAUCUCUGUCUUGCCAAUCCAGAAAGAGAUAGAGAAUUGACAGGUAUUUGUCCUUUUUUUGUUUUUGUCCUUAUUAAUGCAAACAAAAUUCGGCACUGUAAUAUGUUGUACAUAUAGCGUAUUCCAUGCUUCAGCCUGCUUUGGAUUGCCAUUUUGAGAGCAAAAUUUUUACAUUUUUUGUGAAUAUGUUUUCUCCCUCACACACAUCACAUCCUUAAAAAAAAAAGUUACAAGAAUUUUUUCCAAAAAACUUUCGAGGACUAAAACUUGUCGUUCCACGCCCCCUCCUUCUUUUGUCGUUAUUCGUUGAGCAAUUUGUUUUUUUUUUUCAAGUGUAAACGGGUAGAUUCGGGGUUUAAAGGCGAAAUCUCUCAUUUACACUCCCUUCUCCCUUACCAUCCAAUCCAUCCCUUCCCCCGUUAAGUAAUUUGCUAAAACAACAUACAAAUACACAUACAUGAUCGCUUGCUUUUGUGUCCAAGAAAAACAUAUACCACUAGUUAUUUUUUUGGAGGUUUUAUAGAAAAAUAUACGGUUAUAAUUUGAUGUAUAUAAAAUAGAAAGGUAAUUAAAAAAUAUAUUUGUAAAAAAAAAAAUUUUUUUGGGAGAGAAAGGGCAAUCCAAGCUCAGCAAUGAAACUGGUACAACAAGAAUAAAAAAAAAACAGAGAGAGAGAGAGAGAGAGAGAGAGAGAGAAUAAUAGUGCUAGGAUGGGUUGAAUAAGUGCGAUAACUGGCUUUAAUUACGCCACAUAGGAAGUGUGCGAGUUCACAUGCCGGCCUACAACUUUUGUUGGUAUUUCAAUUAUUUUUAAUGUAGGGCUGGCAGUCUUCGUUAACAAACUUGGAAUUCAUUUAUAAAAGGACGAAAAAAAAGUUGGGGAAAAAGAUAGUCUUACAUGACCACGUAUUCACUUGACUUCUACAUUUUUAACGUGUGCAUUUUGAAUUUCAGAAGUGUUUCCACGGAAUCGAACGGAUUUUGAAGGCUAUUCUUUGAAAGAGCAAUCUUAUAGUUAGCAGUUGAAUUUGGACAUAAUUUGUUAAGCAGAUUGAUAACCAUACACCUGGCCAUUUGAAUUUGAUUCAGACUCCAUCCAUACAAUAAGAGAGAAAAAAAAAUGCCGAACCUGACGUGACUAUUCUUCUAAGUUGCUGUGGUUGCAUCAGCAUUCAACAUUCAGAUUAUAACGAUGGUCCCUACUCUCAGGUGCUACUCAUUAACACAUUUAAAAUUCAUUUAACUUAUAAUUUAUAUAUGCAUACUGAUAAUUAUUACCUUUUCUUAUAUUUAUAUACUUUUUUUAUUUAAUCUUAUCCACCCUCUUUUAUAUUUACUUACUUUUUCUAGUCAAUCUUACGCUUCUAAAAAUAUACGACACUUUAAAUAUAUUUUAACGAGUACUCAAUAGGUAUCCAUUAGAUAGGCACUUUAAUUAUCUUACCUUUUAAUUUGGCACCUUUUAUAAGAGAAAUGACCUAGAGUUAAAAAGGACCCGAUUAACAAUUCGAUUGUAUUUUUUUUAUUAUUAUCUUUCAUCCCUUUCCCAUCCUUAACUGUGAGGAUUCAAAUCCUAAACAUGACAGUGAGGAGAGUUCUUCCCUGAUCACUGGCUAACCCCUGUGAUUUAAUAAUUUGAAUGUACUAUAAGAUUACUGUGUGUUAGAAGGUGAAAAUAAGUAACUAGGCGUGUGCAAAAUAAAAAAAUUUCGAUUUACAGACCGAAUUUGAAUUCGGUAAUUCGGAAUGAAAAUCGGAAUUUCGAUUUCAAAUUGGUCGAAUUCGGUAACGAAAUUUUUCAAAUCGGAAAUUCCGAUUUCUAAUUCAUAAUUCGAAAUCGAAAUCGAAAUUCGGAAUUUCUAUUUCGAUUUCAAAUAUGUUUUUCAUAUAUAUAUAUAUAAUAUAUAAUAUAAUAUUUAUUUUAUAUUCAUGAAUUCGGUGAGAUCGGAAUUUACCGAAUUCCGAAUUGUAUUUUGCAAGAUUAUAGCGCAGUACUUCAAAGAGUAUUUUGCAUGCAACGUGACGAUAUCCCCUGACAGAUAGGACAGUGAAUAAUAAUAAUAAUAAUUCUGGGCCAUAUGUCUCUACUGCUCGAUAUCCCCCCGCGAGAUACUAACACCGGAUCCAGAAUAUUAAAUCACAUAGAACAAAACGGAGCAAAGUAAAAACUAGAAUUCAUUUUCUGUACUCCGUUGUAGGAAUAUCUUAACCCUCAGUCACUUGUUUCGCUUUAAAUUUUUCCCUCUUCCUUGAUCAGCUUUGACAUACUCUGUAUUUGUAUUUAACCAAAUUCAAACUGACAAAAGGCUGUAUGCGGACAAUGUCGUAUUAAUCACGCCACUUUUGAUGGAUACGUAUAUAUAUAUAUAUAUAUAUAUAAUUAAUUAAAGCUUUGAGUAAGCUUCAAUCUUACGUGUCCUUUCCUGCGGAUAUUAGCAAGAAGAAAAAGUUAGAUUACCUACAAUUAAAGACAUGAUUUAGACAGAUUACGUAUUUGAGUCAGGACCAGAUCAGAAGCACAAAAGUAAAGAAGAAGCCGGCAGGCGCUUUUAUGGUCGAGCUUAAACCAUAAGUUACUUUUCCGUCUCUUGAUUUUGACGGAAUAAUUAAAGAGGCAGCAGCAGCAGCAGCCCACCCCCAGCGCCAACUCGCAGACAGAGAGCCAGAGAGGUAUAAAGAUGGUGAAAUUAAUAUCCAUAAAUUGAUGAAUUAAUUAUAUAGUUCAUGGAUACAACAUUCACGUGGUCAGGAAUAUUAGAGUUCAUUAAAGGGGACACAUGCAUAUGUGUACAAAGUGAUAACGGCGGCAGAAAUUCUUGAAAAUCAUUUAUUCCCCUGUAUGUGUGCUGUAUAUUCAGCUUGAUUAUAAAACUUUUUUAGUGUUACAGUUUGCAUCCUCAGAAUACCAUGCAUCACAAUUAUACGUCAAUAUAUAUAUAUAUAUAUAUAUAUAUAUAUAUAUAUAUAUGAAUAUCUUAUUUAGCUGAGCAACACAAUAUAAUUGACAUCAAAAGCUAUUUUGAAGAGCAGCGCGUCGGUUGCAGAUGAAACGUCUUACUGACUAGUAUUAUGUGUUCGCUGUUAGAUAGUAUUCAUUCAGUAUAAUUUUUUCUUAUAUGGGACGUAAAGAGGACGCAUUGCUAGUUGGAGCCUUCUAGCUCUGGCGUCAACCACAUCCUCAAAACCCACCAAACGUUAGGUGUAUGUUUGGUAGGUUUAAACAAAGUUAUAACGAUGGUUUUGAUCUGAUUCCAUCUGAUUGAUCAAUCAUGUGAAACUAAUUUUUCAUUUUUAUUGCUAGUCGGCGGCCAUGUGACCGAGAAAUUCAUGAUCUUGUCGAACAAUAUUAGCAAAUUACUGAAAUAGGAGUUUUAGCUAGGAUCCAAGAACAUCUGUAAAGUUGCUAAAGCAAGUGUAAAGAAUCCACCACAUUGAUCUAAACUAAAGCAAAUGCAAAUCAGGUUAUAUAUAUAUGUAUAUAUAUGGACAACAAACAUAAAAAGAAAACCCCAGGAUGUGUAUAAAAUUUACCGAGUACAUAUUUACUGCUAAUUACCCAACUAGAAAACUAUUCAAAAUCCUCUUCCAAAGCAACAAAAAGAAAUGCAAAACUACGGGACAUAUUUCAAUUAUAGAAGUCCAAAAGUUGCCCCUCUAUCUUUGCAAGUGUAAAAAUCGCCUCAUCAAGAUGAAAUCCUACCGCAAGCGACACAAAUUAAGCAUUGGAUAAAACACAGAUUAACCGUCUAUCACAGGAAGUAUUUCCUCCUUGUGGGCCGAAAGGGAAAAAAACAAUUGCAGACAUGGAACUGGAAAAAGUGAAAGCUAAGAUCUGAUAAAAGUGAAGAAAAAGUGGAGUUAAAACCCUGGAUUUUGUAGUUAAAUACUAUCAUAACUGAUCCCUUUUGUCUACUGAGGUAAGACAAGUGUGUUCCCCAUAAAAGUGUCUCCUUGCACUACCAAGAAUGUUCAAUACAAGUACCAAUCACCGGUGGAAAUGAGAAUCUCUCAUUUUUGCCAGAAUACGAGGUGUGGAAGUUUCUUGGUGUUUAAUACUUGGAAUUUGGGACUACGGCAUUCUACGGGAUUUGUGAUGCUGGACUUGGGAACCACAACAUUAAGAGUUCUUAAUACAGAUUAUGAAUUAAAAAUUGCCAUUUGAAGGUCAUGCAAUUACUUAAUGCAGUCAUGGGUCUACACUUUUUCUCCACAACUACAUUACAAGUUUGUCUAUUUGAUAUCAAUAAUACAUAGCACUGGCUGAUUUAAUACAUGUUGCCUGUUGGAUAUUUUAAUAAAAAAAUAUCACAUAUUUAUUUUGAAUUCAAAUAAAAUAAAUUACAAAUUCUUUAAAUAAAUUUUCAGUUACAAAUUGAAACAUUUAAAUGUGUAACUUAUGAGAUUUAUGUCUUGCUUUCUAUAAUUACUGCAAACACUAACAUCUUACAAGAAUAUAAUAGACUCCUUUCUUCUAUAGGAACUAGAAAUCUUUCAUGUUUAAGUUAGUAAAUUGAUUUUGAGGGACAGAGACAAACAACAUUAGGCUUUGGCCCCUCCUUAAAUGCCCUAAAGAAAAUGUCAAAUUAGACCGAAGAGAGAAGGAAACUAUAUAAAUAAGAGCUAAUAAAAGAGCCUUGCAAUUGCAGCUCAAGGAGAAAGGGCAGGACAGGACAGGAGAGGGGGCCAUGCGGGACAGAAACGUUUGAUGAAGUUGGGUGCGAUGAAUGUUCCAAUCCACAUGGAAAAUGAAAUGAAGCGACAUAUCCCAUCCCAAGCAGUCCCAUGACUAUCCAUCACCAAUCGUGAUUAUGGCUACCAGUUUUACGACUUGCGACUUGUUGGACUGGGAGGGGUUGCUUUUUUCUGCUUAUCCACUCCCAGGCCCCAUCUCCUAUUGCUUUGUAGCUAGAGGACCGGCCAUUCCUCAGCAGUACAGUAUUCAGGGAAGAUAAUAAUCUGCUCCAUCUUUUGUUAUAGUUCUGAAGUACUACCAACUCAAAGAAUGUUGUUGGAAAGUACACUGCACCUGUAUAUUCUUUCCUUGUACUUCGUGUACAUUCCCUAUCCGACUCAUUAACAAGAGAGGUCUUUUUGUUUUUCUUUUCUUCAAAUUGAGAACCUUCAAUAACGGAAGCAAGCUGCAAAAUUUGUGGUUCCUCUCUUUAUCACCCCCACAAAGAUAGUAGGCUUUGCUACAGUAAAGGAUGAAACCUGUGUUCUUUGUCUACAUCCCAAGCUUUGCAUAAAGAAAACACCCCAAGAAAACAAAACAAAAAAAAAAUGAACAAGUAUUGAUCCACCAACUAAUGUACAAUUGACUGCCAAAACUAUUAAUAACAGAAUCCCCCCUCGAAGCAAGAUUCACAAUGGGAGGCAAAUGAAGUUUUACAGGGUCGGUAUAGAACAAAAUUAUGCCACAGAGAAACGAAGAUCAACAGAUGUACCCACCAACUUUCACCACCUCUGGUUAGACUUCAUUCCUACUAUACAUCCCAACCAUCCUUCCGCCGGCUAAAUUCUGACUUGCGGUCGGUCAAACUCCCGUACAUCUUUGCAAAUAUUCGCAGGCAAUUGCUUCGAACAUGAUAAUGAGCAUUCGUAUUCCGGCUAAUAGCUACACCAGAAAAUUUUGAUGUAUCAAUAGCCCAUGCAGGUCUUACAUACUCGACUGUCUGGGAAGAGCUUGCAUUUGCAUAAAGGUAAUUCAGCAACACAUCCUCACAGUUAAAAUACUUCUGAACCACCUGUCUUCCAGCCAUUGCUUCCUUGCUCCAGUAUCUCUCAAAGGCCAUCCGGCCGUCCAUGAAAGCUGCCCCAGUUAGAAUCAUAUUGUAGCCAUUGUGUCUGCGAGCAUGCUUCUCUGCUCUGUAUUUCAGGGGACUCCCAUUCACGAGCCGGGGGUAGAACCCCACAAUCCUAUCAGGAUGCUCACGCCAUACCUUGAAACCCCGUUCUAUAUCAUCACAAGUCAUCAUAAUGUCAUCGUCAAGUUCCAGUACAGCUCGAGUUUUUAUUUUUGGAUCCAUCUUGAAUCGAUUAUUUAACGAGUUCUCUUCCUCCUCUCUUAUCCUUACUGGUACUGCCGAGUCAAAUUCACUCAAUUCUGGACGUUUGCCUUUGUUCCAGACCACCACAAUUUCACGCACAGAUGAACACCUGGAGUAAUGCUUUAUGUACAUUUUCAAAUUCCAGAGGCGAGCAUCAUAGGUCAUUGUUAAUAAAGUAAAUUGAGAAUAAUGAUCAUUUAACGGGUAAGGCUCCUGUGCACCACUGCCUCCAUAUAUGUAUCCAACCCCCAGGCACAUUAGGGCCAUUGAUGCCAUGAUUGUCAAUAUUAUAACCAAUCUCCCGGUACAAGUAUUCAGAUUUACUUUGGCACGAAGAAUUGAGCUCGCUCUGUUUAAACGGCUGCAAAACAGUCUCAGUUUGGAGGAUAACAGGUUCGGCUUCUCCCACGACAACAGAGCAUCGCUUCUCUUCCCCAUAUUGUGAGGGCACCAACUUAGGGGUACUAGGCAUUUCACAGCCCCUAGAAGCAAUCCAACCAAUAUAACGAGUGCAGCAACAGCCAUGACUGAGGCACAGCCUAGAACAAACCUGCGAUUUGUAUCUCCAGAGGGCACUCUGUCCCCAUCCAGCACCCCAACCCACUCCCCAGAACUUAGCUGCUGAACAUCAAGAUGAUGGUUGCGGAGACCAUUCCAGGCAUUUCGUCCCUUGGUUGGUUCUUCAGUGCCCAAAGAGACCUCAACUUCUUUGAACUCAUCUGUAGUGAGAAUUUCCACUCUAAAGACACGAAUUCGCCGCCCGUAUGUUUCACCACAGUCUUGACCAAUUCGAUAAAGGUUUCCAUCAUGUACAAAGGGCCUGCCUCCAUUUCGAGCUCCCAUGCUCUUGUCUGUGUUAUAUAUAGGGUUCUUUUUGUGUGGUCUCCAAGGACCAAGAGGAGAAGUACUGUACCAAAUCUCCAGCUGUCCAUUCUUCUUGGUCCCAAUACCACUGUGGUCUGAACCAAACAGCCAGUACUUUCCACCAUGAGGUAUGAUAAAGGAAUCAACCAUAGGCUUUUUCAUAAUGACCUUGUCAAAUGUCCAUUCCACUGGAAAGUUCACAGCUCGAUAAAGCCGCAGAUCCCCAUUUGCACUUCCCUCAGGCAUCAUAUAUAUCUGCUCCAAAAGAGAAGAGAUAAAAUUUCCUCAGCUUGAACCACUUCAGAGGCUUUCAGUAACCACAAUGAAAAGGCAAGACAUGAUGUCUAUAUCAGCAAUCAAAGACGAUACUAUUUAUUCGUUGCGUUCAAGUUACAGAUUUGGGUUCAUUAUUCUCAAAACUCUACUCUUCUAUAUUCUAAUCUGCUAAUUAAGGUCAAAAUUUUCAUAAAAGUGAUGCAUGCUUGCAGGCCCACAUAUCAUAUUCACAGUUUACAGAAAAAAAGGCUGCGAGAGAAAGAGGUCUUACAUGGCCAUUGUAGUCAAAGACAUAGGGAUAAGAGAGAUGCCAAUCUUCAUCCAAGGCGAUGCCCAACUGCUGCCACGUAGCUCCCUUAUCAACACUUCUUGCAACUCCGAUGUCUCCUUGCAUGGUGAUUGAGUUCUUUGUUUCGAAAAAGAGGUAAAGCACAUCCCCCUGGAUUUCAUCAUCAAAAGUUCAGAAUUCAAGGUAUGAAGAGUGUAAUUACACAAAUUACAAAAGUUACAGAACCAAUAUAUCCAGUUUGGAAAUCUCCAAAGUCCUGUGCCAUAUUCAUUGUGAAUUACCAUACUAAAAGGCAAAAUAACCUUUCUUGGUAAACAGAAAAAUCACAAGACUCUACUGUUAUGAUUUGUGAAAGACAUUGGUCUUGUUCUCAACUGCUUCUGAUUGUGUAAAAGCUGAUUUUAGAAAAUCAGAAUAAAAAAGCACCAAAAUAGAUGCUUUUGAGUUUCAGCUUUUUCAGGCUAAAAAAAAUAAAAAAUGAGAAUUUGAGAACACAACAAAAUAACUUGCUUAGAAUCAGAAUCUAAAAUCAGAUCUUGAAAAUCAGUUGAGAACAAGGCCAUUAUUCCUUUGAUGGCAUGCAUCCCGAAUAAAGAAACUAGCACAUUUCCAAUCAAAUUAUAAACAUAUCACUCUGAAGUCUAAACCAAGUGUUAACUGUAUGCACACUCUGCAUCUGGCAAAGCACAAGAAAAGAUGAAAAAGAUGCACUAGGUCAUACUCCACGGAUGCUUUUGCAUCACAAUCAAAGUUCCUUGCAAGUUUUACAUUUUAAAAGCUGAUAAGACUCCAUAAACAAACAAGUCAAGCACUCCCGAAAUAUAGCAAGAAUUAAAGAACCAGCUAGACCAAACACGUUAUUGCUUAUCAAACACAAGGGACAACUAAAGCUGUUUUCUGUUGACACCCAAAAAUAAAUAGUAUGCAAUACACACACUCUCUCUAAAGAAAUCAGCACGAUUAACGUACACUGUUAGUGACUUGUACUAUAACUACUAUAAUUUUCUUCAACUCAUUGACACCUAACAUAAAAGGCUUGAAGUUAUUUUGCAGAGCAAGGGAAAGAUUAGGAAUAACAAGACAAAGGAAUUAUCAAAAGAAAAAUAAAUAAAUAAAAUAAGCUAGAUCGGCCUAAGAGAAGAAACAUAUUCAUUGGCUUGAUAUGCACCUAAUAGCCACUCAGAAUUUAGUACCUGCUGAAUGAACCAGAAGUAAAGUGCAAUAUCUAUGGCAGGAAAUUCCUACAUUACCAAAAUAUAAUCUUCUAAAUCUAUCAUCAUUUUUCGAAAGCAAAAGGUGUCAUGCACCACUGAAAGUACACUUGAACUGGACUUGGUACCACCAUCUUACAAUCACUUGAAAGUAUAAAUUCUUUUAAUCACAAAAUUCUCAAAUAGUAAACCUAAGAAGGUAGAAUCAUGUGAAACAUUCAGCUAAAUGCCAUCUUGACUUUGGAGCAAUGGAGUUCCAUUUAAAACUCCACGCAUCAUUAAAGGACGUCAUCAAGACUUGCUGACCUCCAAUCUCUAUCCUGUAUUUCCUUGUGGCACUUGCAGCUUGAAACCACUUACUAAUACUUCAAUUUGACCAGUUUUUCCUUGUGUAAGACAACAAUCAUCUAUAACAAUUCCAAGCCUUAGAAAACCAGUACCAGUUCUAUAUCCUUACCUAUUAUAUCAGUAUCACAAUUGUGUACUCACAUAAAUUCUAAGUGCCACCCUUGUGUUACUAUCUAGCAUAUCAGCGCCAACCUAGUAGUGCAUUGAAGCUGCUUGAACUUCAAAAUCUCGCACAUUGGUAACCUCUAUAUCCUUACCUCACAUUGGUAACCUCUAUAUCCUUAGAAAACCAGUACCAGUUCUAUAUCCUUACCUCGUAUAUCAGUAUCAGAAUUGUGUGCUCACAAAAAUUCUAAGUGCCACCCUUCUGUUACCAUCUAGCAUAUCAGGGCCAACCUAGUAGUGCAUUGAAGCUGCUUGAACUUCGAAAUCUCGCACAUUGUGUACUCUAUUUUGGUUCAUAUUCAAUUUAUCGCUUUACAACAACAUUGUUGACUAGAAUCCAAAAUUUCUCAUGGUAUGACAACUCCACUCUUUUUCGCCAUAACUUACUUGUGACAAAAUUAUUCAAUCAUUUUAUACUUAACUCUAAGCAAAGCACCAAUUUUACAGCUACAACCAGCCACAAGAUUCAGUUGUUCUCCUCUUGUUGCCAUGAGUUCAUCAUAUUUUGAAAGCCACAUAUCUUCCAUUUUUUUCCCCAAGUGUAUGAGCAGCAAUAAGAUUAUUCGGUAUGAGAGCUUUCAGAGCAAACAAUUAUGAAAUUGCCCUAAUAAGCCUUUUACCUACAAAAGUUUUCACAUAAAAAAUAAAUUAAAAAAUUCUUCUGCUUUUUCCCCAUCUUCAACCCACUUGCCCUAAUUUAAAUUUGUCUCCCCUCUCAUCAGCUGGAUAGCUUUCUCCAAAAACCGGAUACAAUUGUUUGAUCCC